rnacentral:rRNA from 1 species
AAAUUGAAGAGUUUGAUCAUGGCUCAGAUUGAACGCUGGCGGCAGGCCUAACACAUGCAAGUCGAACGGUAACAGGAAGCAGCUUGCUGUUUCGCUGACGAGUGGCGGACGGGUGAGUAAUGUCUGGGAAACUGCCUGAUGGAGGGGGAUAACUACUGGAAACGGUAGCUAAUACCGCAUAACGUCGCAAGACCAAAGAGGGGGACCUUCGGGCCUCUUGCCAUCGGAUGUGCCCAGAUGGGAUUAGCUAGUAGGUGGGGUAACGGCUCACCUAGGCGACGAUCCCUAGCUGGUCUGAGAGGAUGACCAGCCACACUGGAACUGAGACACGGUCCAGACUCCUACGGGAGGCAGCAGUGGGGAAUAUUGCACAAUGGGCGCAAGCCUGAUGCAGCCAUGCCGCGUGUAUGAAGAAGGCCUUCGGGUUGUAAAGUACUUUCAGCGGGGAGGAAGGGAGUAAAGUUAAUACCUUUACUCAUUGACGUUACCCGCAGAAGAAGCACCGGCUAACUCCGUGCCAGCAGCCGCGGUAAUACGGAGGGUGCAAGCGUUAAUCGGAAUUACUGGGCGUAAAGCGCACGCAGGCGGUUUGUUAAGUCAGAUGUGAAAUCCCCGGGCUCAACCUGGGAACUGCAUCUGAUACUGGCAAGCUUGAGUCUCGUAGAGGGGGUAGAAUUCCAGUGUGUAGCGGUGAAAUGCGUAGAGAUCUGGAGGAAUACCGGUGGCGAAGGCGGCCCCUGGACGAAGACUGACGCUCAGGUGCGAAAGCGUGGGGAGCAAACAGGAUUAGAUACCCCUGGUAGUCCACGCCGUAAACGAUGUCGACUUGGAGGUUGUGCCCUUGAGGUGUGGCUUCCGGAGCUAACGCGUUAAGUCGACCGCCUGGGAGUACGGCCGCAAGGUUAAAACUCAAAUGAAUUGACGGGGGCCCGCACAAGCGGUGGAGCAUGUGGUUUAAUUCGAUGCAACGCGAAGAACCUUACCUGGUCUUGACAUCCACGGAAGUUUUCAGAGAUGAGAAUGUGCCUUCGGGAACCGUGAGACAGGUGCUGCAUGGCUGUCGUCAGCUCGUGUUGUGAAAUGUUGGGUUAAGUCCCGCAACGAGCGCAACCCUUAUCCUUUGUUGCCAGCGGUCCGGCCGGGAACUCAAAGGAGACUGCCAGUGAUAAACUGGAGGAAGGUGGGGAUGACGUCAAGUCAUCAUGGCCCUUACGACCAGGGCUACACACGUGCUACAAUGGCGCAUACAAAGAGAAGCGACCUCGCGAGAGCAAGCGGACCUCAUAAAGUGCGUCGUAGUCCGGAUUGAGUCUGCAACUCGACUCCAUGAAGUCGGAAUCGCUAGUAAUCGUGGAUCAGAAUGCCACGGUGAAUACGUUCCCGGGCCUUGUACACACCGCCCGUCACACCAUGGGAGUGGGUUGCAAAAGAAGUAGGUAGCUUAACCUUCGGGAGGGCGCUUACCACUUUGUGAUUCAUGACUGGGGUGAAGUCGUAACAAGGUAACCGUAGGGGAACCUGCGGUUGGAUCACCUCCUUA